GACGAACGCUGGCGGCGUGCUUAACACAUGCAAGUCGAGCGGUGCGGCGAACGGGCGAGUAACGCGGGAGUAACUGCCCCCCUCCCUGGGAUAACAGUUGGAUACGGCUGCUAAUACCGGAUAGUGGGGGAUGAAUCGCGUCCUAUCAGCUUGUUGGUGGGGUAGUGGCCUACCAAGGCGACGAAGGGUAGCCGGCCUGAGAGGGCGACCGGCCACAUGAGGCUAAGAGACGGCCCAAAGUCCAACGGGGGGCAGCAGUGGAGAAUAUUGCACAACGGGGGAAACCCUGAUGCAGCAACGCGCGUGCGGGAUGACGGCCUUCGGGUUGUAAACCGCUUUCAGCCAUGACGCGGUAGUGGCAGAAGAAGCACCGGCUAACUACGUGCCAGCCGCCGCGGUAAUAC
rnacentral:rRNA from 1 species